AUUGAACGCUGGCGGCAGGCCUAACACAUGCAAGUCGAGCGGAUGAAGGGAGCUUGCUCCUGGAUUCAGCGGCGGACGGGUGAGUAAUGCCUAGGAAUCUGCCUGGUAGUGGGGGAUAACGUCCGGAAACGGGCGCUAAUACCGCAUACGUCCUGAGGGAGAAAGUGGGGGAUCUUCGGACCUCACGCUAUCAGAUGAGCCUAGGUCGGAUUAGCUAGUUGGUGGGGUAAAGGCCUACCAAGGCGACGAUCCGUAACUGGUCUGAGAGGAUGAUCAGUCACACUGGAACUGAGACACGGUCCAGACUCCUACGGGAGGCAGCAGUGGGGUAUAUUGGACAAUGGGCGAAAGCCUGAUCCAGCCAUGCCGCGUGUGUGAAGAAGGUCUUCGGAUUGUAAAGCACUUUAAGUUGGGAGGAAGGGCAGUAAGUUAAUACCUUGCUGUUUUGACGUUACCAACAGACUAAGCACCGGCUAACUUCGUG
rnacentral:rRNA from 1 species